rnacentral:rRNA from 1 species
GUCCUAGCUGUAAACGAUGUUCACUAGAUGUGGGAGGUAUCGACCCCUUCCGCGUCGACGCUAACGCAUUAAGUGAACCGCCUGGGGAGUACGGCCGCAAGGUUGAAACUCAAAGGAAUUGACGGGGCCCGCACAAGCGGUGGAGCAUGUGGUUUAAUUCGACGCAACGCGAAGAACCUUACCUGGGCUUGAAGUGCUGGUUGUAAAAAUCCCGAAAGGGAGAUGACCCGCAAGGGAGCCAGCAGAGGUGCUGCAUGGCUGUCGU